rnacentral:lncRNA from 1 species
AUGUUCGGUAGGCAGCCUCGGUUGCCUAUAGAUAUUGCCUUUGGGUUACCGCAUUUGAACAAGCCCUCUAUAACUCAUUCUCAGUAUGUUAAAGAACUGAAGAGUCAUCUGGAACAGAGUUAUGACAUUGUCAUAAAAAACUCUCAAAAAACAGCGAGGAAGAACAAAGAACGGUUCGACAGAAACAUUCGUGAGUCCACACUAGGUGUGGGAGAUCGUGUUUUAGUCCGAAAUCUUCGCUUAAGAGAAAAGCAUAAAUUAGCAGACAAAUGGGAGCAAACAGUGUAUAUAGUUCUCAAACAGAUGGAAAACUUGCCAGUAUACACUGUAAAACCAGAGAACGGAGAAGGACCCAACAGAACACUCCACAGAGAUCUUUUACUGCCUUGUGGUUUUCUCUCUUCAUUAGAAAAUGAAACAGAACGCGUUACGAAACCUAGCAGACCUCAUACAAGACAGAGUUCAGCCUUAGAACCUGACCCAGAUGAGCCACUUGACGAAGAGGUAGAUGAGUUUUAUUACUCUGAUCUUCCACAAGUGCUAAACCGACCAUCCUAUCAAAUAGCGGUCACCUUGCCAAAUAGGGAACUCAUAGCAGAUUCAGGACCGGUAAAUAAUAUUCAACAACAAAACACACUAUCCUUACACACAGGGGAUCGCAAGGAACCAACCUUAGCUGGUAAUGAAAAUGCUGAAUUGUCCUUACUUGACAAAGGCAUCAACACCGAAACAUUCUUACCUGACAGAAUGAGUGAAACUGCGACAUUCUUACCUGAAAGAGUGAAAGAAGCAGCAACAUACUUACCUGAAAAAACGAAAAAAAACGAAGUAUACUUACCUGACGUAGAAACGGGGGAUGAAACUAACACAAACCUACCUCAAUUGGAUGGUGUCCUAAAGUCGCAGCAACGUGAUGUAAGUUUUGAACCCAUCAUACACGAUCAGACACAUACAUCUGAAAAGACCAAAGUCUUAGAGAAUAGCUCAUCAGCUCUGUCGGAAACAGAGAGCUCACUUCGUCCUGUCUCAGUUGAGAAUCAAACCGAAACGGAUGAGCAUGAUACUGUGCAACCAGAGAUGUAUGUCAGGAGAUCUGAACGAAGUAGUCAGCCUCCUCAAAGACUAACUUACUCUCAAUUGGGCAAUCCACUAGUGACCGUAGUUAGGUCCCUUUUCCAAGGACUUAAUAAAGCUUUUAUUGACUCUCUUACUCAAGAAGUUGUGUACCCCGUAGAAACAAUGCACAGGGACGUGCAUGAUAUUUAA